UACGAAGGGGGCUAGCGUUGCUCGGAAUCACUGGGCGUAAAGGGUGCGUAGGCGGGUCUUUAAGUCAGAGGUGAAAUCCUGGAGCUCAACUCCAGAACUGCCUUUGAUACUGAGGAUCUUGAGUACGGGAGAGGUGAGUGGAACUGCGAGUGUAGAGGUGAAAUUCGUAGAUAUCGUGAGGAACACCAGAGGCGAAGGCGGUUACCUGGACAGUUACUGACGCUCAGGCACGAAAGCGUGGGGAGCAAACAGG
rnacentral:rRNA from 1 species